ensembl:lncRNA
GUCAUAUUACUUUUUUCUUCCAUGCAGUUUAAUUCUAAACAUCCCUGUCUGACCCAGACAGCCCCGUUACUCAUAUAUUUGACACUAAAGGCAUUAUAAGCAAGAAGAUGUAAACAGGAUUGAACGUCCCUGUGCCGUUGGAGAGAUCCUGAUUUUUUUGGAAGCGACGGCGCGCACGUGACGGAGCGGAGCUGCCGCGCUCACGAGCCGUUCGUUAAACCCAAGGACGACGGAGAACCAAACCGAGCCGGCUGAGACUCAUCACGGGGAAGAAACAGAGGUUUUCUCGUCAGAAAUAUUCAAGAGGAGACACGGAGACGAUGGACGGUUAUGGGCUUUCGGAUGACGAGCUUUUCUCCUCCUGUCUGCUCAACUUCACCUGCGAGGAUUCAUCUGAGCAGCGCGCAGCGACUUUACAUCUGCUGGCAGAGAUACAGCGCUGCCUGUGGAGGAGCCGCUCCUGGCUGAAGCAAAGCAUGGAAAUGAGCAGGACUCUUCUGAGGGGUCUCUGGACGCUCUGCUUGUUGCUCGUAGCAUUGCAAAUUGUAAUCUUGAGAUGUUGAUGUUUUGAAAUAUUUAGAAUGUACCCCUGUGAAAAAAAGGACACUUUUAUACUUACAUAUGCAUACUUUUAAAAUGAGCACCUGUUAUAUGGAAAUGUUAUACUUUAAAAGUACAUACUUUAGUGUGAACUGAAUGUAUUGCUUUCAC